GACAGAGGGUGCAAACGUUGCUCGGAAUUACUGGGCGUAAAGCGCGCGCAGGCGGUCCUUUAAGUCUGAUGUGAAAGCCCACGGCUCAACCGUGGAGGGUCAUUGGAAACUGGAGGACUUGAGUACAGAAGAGGAAAGCGGAAUUCCACGUGUAGCGGUGAAAUGCGUAGAGAUGUGGAGGAACACCAGUGGCGAAGGCGGCUUUCUGGUCUGUAACUGACGCUGAGGCGCGAAAGCGUGGGGAGCAAACAGG
rnacentral:rRNA from 1 species